AUUGAACGCUGGCGGCAGGCCUAACACAUGCAAGUCGAACGAGUGGCGGACGGGUGAGUCAUGUCUGGGAAACUGCCCGAUGGAGGGGGAUAACUACUGGAAACGGUAGCUAAUCCCGCAUACCAUCGGAUGUGCCCAGAUGGGAUUAGCUAGUAGGUGGGGUAACGGCUCACCUGGGCGACGAUCCCUAGCUGGUCUGAGAGUAUGACCAGCCACACGGGAACUGGAAAACGGUCCAGACUCCUACGGGAGGCAGCAGUGGGGAAUAUUGGACAAUGGGCGCAAGCCGGAUGCAGCCAGGCCGGGGGUAUGAGGAGGGCCUCCGGGUUGAAAAGUACUUUCAGCGGGGAGGCGUUACCCGCAGAAGAAGCACCGGCUAACUCCGUGCCAGCCGCCGCGGUAAUUC
rnacentral:rRNA from 1 species